CACAACAACCUCAACAGCCUUUCGCCCAAAUCUCCUCUAGUCUCAGCCUUUCAUUAUUAUUUAAACAAAAAUCUCCUACCUCCGUAACCUGAGACAGUUUUAGUUUCCAAAUUAAAUGAUGGAAGUGUUUGUCAAAACUGGAAGCUGUGAACUGCAUUUCGAAAGGAACAGAACAAAGGGAGAAGAGUGUUAAAAUAUGCACCUACAAAAAUCAGUUUGAAGAGACUCUCAAGUCCCAACGGUAAUGAAGAAAAUUGAGGGCAAUUGCUGCUGAGGGCUGAGAUACAAGAUCAGAAGAGCUGUCAGCUGUGGCUUAUAGUUUGCCAAAAUAGAGUACAACCUUGCAUAAUCCAGGAAAUGAUCAUCUGAUGUACUAUCAUCUCCUUCAUUCAACAACUAGGAAUAUAAAAGCCCAGAAUCUCCUAGCAACAGCUAGCUGGAGGAACAAUGGGACUAAAGUUGACAGUCUCUGAAAAUAGAUGCAAAUAUCACAAUUGCUGAUUAACUCAUGACUCUUGACUGUAGAACAGUAUGUUUUUGUUAUCUGUUCGUAUCAAUGCUUUUAGACUCAAGACUGCGCUAGCGCUAUUGACUUGACAGGGCAAAUCAGCAAAGGAGCGACAUUGUGACAAGUCCACACCAGCUACAGGUGGCAAGAACUUCUUAAACCAGAGGUGCAAACACUGGCCAUCAAGCAGGAAUUAAGCUGACCUGGAAGAGGGCACCGCACUAUAGACCUUGGCGUACUAGGUGCAAAGUAACAUGUCGAUGUGCAGGAAGCCAUUAUGCUUUCCAGACAUGCCCAUAAACUAUUUCUAUUGAUGUACAUCAUCCAGGGUAAGGAGUACCAGCAAUUCACUACCCUCUGAAAUCUCCCAGUAUCUCUCUCAAAACCUACACUACUGCACACAUCUUUGUAUCAUCAGUAAACUUGGAUUUAUCACAUCUGAUCCUCUCAUCCAAGUCAAUGAUAUAGAUUUGUAAAUAACAGGACCAACAAUACCAAUCCUUGUGGCAUCUUCUUACUGCAUAUAGGCAGUGAUUGAAAAAUACAACUAUGACAAAGAGUGCUGUACAGAGCUGGUUGGGGGAGGCAUAGGAGUGACUGGAACCGAAUGGACAAUAGACUGGAUGAUGUUCUAGACAUGGUCCUGAAUGAUCAGCCAUUGUUCAGUAACGAUUGGCAAUAACACCUCUUCUUCGCUGAGCAUAAGCACAAAUGCACCCCAGAGCUGUGUGCUCAGCCCCCUGCUCUACUCUACACCCAUUAUUAUAAAGCCAGACACAGCCGAAUACCAUUUUAAAAUUUACCAUCAUUGGAUGAAUAACCAGAAACGAUUAAUCAGAAUAAAGAUCAAUAAACUGUUGAGCGGUGCCAGAACAACAAACUUACUCUUAACGUUAGCAAGACCAAGGAGCUAAUUGUUGAUUUCUGUAAUGAACUAAGACACCAUACACCUUCCUUCACAGAUGGGGCAAUGGUGGAAAGAGUUAACAGCUUCAGGUUCCUGAGCAAGCACAUUGUUGAGGAUAUAGCCUGGGCCCACCACAUUGAUGCAAUCACAAAGAAAGCUCACCAAUGCUUCUACUUCCUCAAAAGUUUGAGGAACUUGUUGCCAAAUACUCUUCCGAACAUCUACAGGUGCACAGAGGAGAGCAUACAGACAUCAUAGCACAUUUUGGAAAUUAAAAGGUUCAAGAAUGAAGAAGGUUGCAGAAAGUGAUGGACAACGCCAAUUCAUCAUGGGCACUGAUUUCCCCACCAUCAAAAGGAUCUACAGGAAGUGCUGCCCAAGAAAGCAGCUAAUAUGAUCAAAGACCCAUGCAAUCCUGGCCAUACUCUCUUCUCACUGUUACCACCAGGAAGAAGGUACUGGAGCCUGAGAACUUUUACCUCUAGCUUCAGGAACAGCAAACAUAACAUUCUUGAACCAUCCUGCACAACCCAUGGUCAGGUGCAUUGAUAGUAAAGGUUUAGAGGGAUAUGGGCCAAACGCAGGCAGGUUAGCUUAGAUGGGGCAUCUUGGUCAGCAUGGACAAGUUGGCCUGAAGGGCCUGUUUCCGUGCUCUAUGACUUGAUAAUCCCAACCAUAACCCCACCUCAGCAUUGAAUUACAGUUGUUCCACAUACUUUGAAUUGUGCACUAUCAUGGUCUUGUUUACUUAGAAUAAAUUAUAAUUUCUUGUACAUUUAUUGUUAUUGUUGUAUCUAAUGCAAGGAUGCAGUAAGUAUGAAUUUCAAUGUCCCUAUUCUUAUCUGGCGUAUAUGACAAACACUCUUGAUCUUGACCCCAGUGGUCAAUAGACAACCAUUAGGAAACUAAAUGCAUUGACACAUGAAAAUUAAAGAUCUGCUUAAAAUGCUCAAUGACAACCAGUACAUCCUCAAAUGAUCUAUCACACACUCUUUGCAAUUGCCAAAAUCCAAUCAUGCCAAAAUUUAAACAGAUACAGGGUACCUUAAUUCUGGAAAUCUUACCAAUAGUGUGUGCUUCUUCAGUUCAACACUAGAUGGAAACGGUGACCCAGUAACAGACGUAGCAGUACUAUGAUGGGGCUGCCAGGCGGCGCUGUCCGAGUGUUUAUUGUUGUAAAUGUUUUUAUUUCUGCACAUGUUUACGAGCUAAGUUAUUUUCAACGGCUUUUAGGGUGUAGGGAGGCGCGAACAAUAAACGUGCAUUCCGUUUGGAAUAUAUAUAUUUGUUCAGGUUGUCUUAAUUUUACACAUAAGGAACUGCAGAUUCUGGUUUACAAAAAAGACACAAUGUCCUGGAGUAACUCAGCAGCAGCAUCUCUCGAGGACAUAGAUAGGCGACGUUUCGAAUUGGGACUUCUUCAGAAGGGUUGAACGCCUUCAGAAUGCCUGUCCACGUCUUCCAGAGAUGCUGCCUGACCCGCUGAGCUGUCCAGCACUUUGUGUGUGUGUGUUUUUCAAUUUUACACACCACGUGAUUUAAAGAUACUUGCAAACA